UACGUAGGGGGCAAGCGUUGUUCGGAAUUACUGGGCGUAAAGGGCGCGUAGGCGGCACGGCAAGUCGGGAGUGAAAGCCCGGGGCUCAACCCCGGAGGGUCUCUCGAAACUGCCGGGCUAGAGUGCGGAAGAGGCAACCGGAAUUCCCAGUGUAGCGGUGAAAUGCGUAGAUAUUGGGAAGAACACCGGAGGCGAAGGCGGGUUGCUGGGCCGACACUGACGCUGAGGCGCGAAAGCCAGGGGAGCAAACGGG
rnacentral:rRNA from 1 species